UCCUGCGCCAUUACCUCACCUCACACCAGCUCUGACAGAGCUCAGAACAGGCCCUGCUCCGACACACUCUGGAACAGAUGUGUAUAAAACGUCUUCACCACAUCACAUGUAAGGAAUCAGAUUCUGCUGCUUUAUGGGUCUGAAAUUUGUUCCAGACACUUAAAACACGGUGUGGAAUCAACAUCCUUCCAUAAUGCAACAGCCAGUUUUAUAGUGCAGCACACAACAUACUUCCAAAAUGAUAAAACCGCCUAUCUUCCACAGUGUUCAGCCAGCCAGAAUCCAGACUUGGAUGGGAAAUCUGCAUCUGGUUUCACUUUUCAAUAACAAAACAAAAAUCACAGGCAUCAUUCAUUAUCUAUGAGGUCCAACAUGAAGGCUUUCAAGUACACUUUAAGAACUAAUUAAAUGUGUAUUUAAAACUGAACUGAAUGUAAAUACUAAACUGAAACUGAACUGAUUAACUUGCAACCUUUUGUGCCUGAUUAUCUCGCUGAAGAAUGAGCUUUUGGCACUCUGGACGUUUGCGCUGGAGGAUCAAUUUCCUGUUCACAUCAAGACUGCUAGGGAAAUCUUCCACACAUUUGAUUCAACUUACAUUUAAAGUGUCUGCUUAGCCUUGGACAAAGGACUAGACACAGAUAAUGUUUUUGACUGGGUAAGAUAAUGCUUUGAAUUUAGGGGCUAAACUGUAUCAGUUUUGCCAUUAGACUACAGGCUAAAAUUCAAGGAUGGUCAAGGCAGUCUGGCCAGGCUGUCUAUUAUCAGACCUCUCCCUUUCAACCAAGAACUUAGAUAGCACAGAAACUCCACAACUCCUCAUUUUGGUUUACAUUCUCUUAGCACAGCAGCACACACUUGUGAGAUACACUAAUCUUCUGCUUUUGAUACAGCUAAGGAGGAAAAUGAGAUUCAUAAACUAUAGCCUUAGUUCAGUUCAAAAAUAUUAUCCUAGUAGCUAAAAAAAGAUGUCAUUUGCUCCUACUAUUGUUUCUAUUGAUAAUUCCUUAUUACAGCCAUCCUUUCUUGCACCUCUGAAGUUAGGAAUUCAGGUUUUAAGUCAUAUAACUGACUUUAUAUGUUGUUUAUUUCUGUGUUUCUUUCACUUGAAGGUAGAAAGCACACUGCUAAAUUUUAUACACUUGUAUUACAGCAACACAAGGCCAGACAAGCCUCAAGCUCCCUCCAUGCUGGCCUCUGCCCCAACGAGGCUGCAGUCUUCUAUCAGACAGGAUAUAAGAGAACAGGCGGAUGCAGACGGAGGGAGAGGUACUAACUGAAUAGCAUUCAAAGAAAAAAAAUAGGAGUCUGCUGCUUCCAAGAGCCAGGAGACAUUUUUAUGCAGCAUACCUCACUAGGAACAUCACAGGAUAAAAAAAAAGAGCCCACUGUUUGCACUUCACUAUAUAUCCUAUUUCAGACUAUGCAGGACAGGCAGCACAACCCAAAUUAAAAGCAUUCCUAACAGAGAGUGUUGCUCUUUUACUGCGAUUGUUGCAAGUCACAUUAGGAUAAAGUUGUGAAGUGUUUGAACACAUUUGCAUUUGAACUUAAUUAAUUUUCAUCGGAGUUUGAGCUUCAUUAAUUUUCAUAGGAGUUUUGACAAUUUUCUCAUUCGUUGUUGAAAUCACAACAUGAGUUUUCCAUAUGCAAGGCAAAUACAAUAAUAUCAGCUCACAAAGU